rnacentral:tRNA from 1 species
GCCUGGGUGGCUCAGUCGGUUGAGCGUCUGACUUCAGCUCAGGUCACGAUCGUGCGUUCUGUGAGUUCAACCCUCGCGUCGGGCU